rnacentral:snRNA from 1 species
AUCGCUUCUCGGCCUUUUGGCUAAGAUCAAGUGUAGUAUCUGUUCUUAUCAGUUUAAAACCCUGGGGGCAUCUGGUGGCUACAUAGGUUAAGUGUCUGACUUCAGGUCAUAACCUCA